rnacentral:rRNA from 1 species
UACGGGGGGGGUAAGCGUUGUUCGGAAUUACUGGGCGUAAAGGGCUCGUAGGCGGCCAACUAAGUCAGACGUGAAAUCCCUCAGCUUAACUGGGGAACUGCGUCUGAUACUGGAUGGCUUGGAUUCGGGAGAGGAAUGCGGAAUUCCAGGUGUAGCGGUGAAAUGCGUAGAUAUCUGGAGGAACACCGGUGGCGAAGGCGGCAUUCUGGACCGACAUUGACGCUGAUGCGCGAAAGCUAGGGGAGCAAACGGG